GGGAGGAGGAAAAGAGGAGAAUGACUGUUCACUGGGUACAGAGUUUCUGCUUGGGAUGAUGAAAAAGGUCUAGAAAUACUGGUGAUAGUUACACAACAUCGGGAACGUAAGGAAUGCCACGGAGCUGUACGCUGAAAUGGUAAACGAGAAAACUCACGCAAGGUGACAGAGCCAGUCAGGAGCCGAGGCAGGAUCUCAACCUGGAGCUGAAGCUCUGAGCUCUCCUGCGGUUCGCUCCCUCUUCAAAAGCGUCACAACAGAAGAAGCAAAGUGCCACAGCAGUAAAUACGCUCAAGCGGGAGGCGGACAGAGGCUUCCUUCUACCUAUCAAGGUCAUUUCCGAGCCAGCAGUCUUAAUGAAUGAUGCAAAAGGCGAUUCGCACCACAGUGACCAGAAAGCCGUGUUCAAGGUCAGCCCCGCCAAGCAAUGGGAAGCGAGAGAAAUCCGCACCGAUCCCAAUUUACGCUGUGAGUAGGAGACAAGGGUAAGAGAGGAGCCCAGUUAGCUCAAGUGCAGCAGAGAACAAAAACUAGAAAGCAUGGGCCAUCACAGAAGAGAAUUGUUUCUGUCCCCGG